GACGAACGCUGGCGGCGUGCUUAACACAUGCAAGUCGAACGGAAAGGCCCUGCUUUUGUGGGGUGCUCGAGUGGCGAACGGGUGAGUAACACGUGAGUAACCUGCCCUUGACUUUGGGAUAACUUCAGGAAACUGGGGCUAAUACCGGAUAGGAGCUCCUGCUGCAUGGUGGGGGUUGGAAAGUUUCGGCGGUUGGGGAUGGACUCGCGGCUUAUCAGCUUGUUGGUGGGGUAGUGGCUUACCAAGGCUUUGACGGGUAGCCGGCCUGAGAGGGUGACCGGCCACAUUGGGACUGAGAGACGGCCCAGACUCCUACGGUAGGCAGCAGUAGGGAAUAUUGCACAAUGGGCGGAAGCCUGAUGCAGCAACGCCGCGUGCGGGAUGACGGCCUUCGGGUUGUAAACCGCUUUCGCCUGUGACGAAGCGUGAGUGACGGUAAUGGGUAAAGAAGCACCGGCUAACUACGUG
rnacentral:rRNA from 1 species